rnacentral:rRNA from 1 species
AGUGAACGCUGGCGGUAGGCCUAACACAUGCAAGUCGAACGGCAGCACAGUAAGAGCUUGCUCUUACGGGUGGCGAGUGGCGGACGGGUGAGGAAUACAUCGGAAUCUACUUUUUCGUGGGGGAUAACGUAGGGAAACUUACGCUAAUACCGCAUACGACCUACGGGUGAAAGCAGGUGAUCUUCUGACCUUGCGCGAUUGAAUGAGCCGAUGUCGGAUUAGCUAGUUGGCGGGGUAAAGGCCCACCAAGGCGACGAUCCGUAGCUGGUCUGAGAGGAUGAUCAGCAACACUGGAAAUGAGACAAGGUCCAGACUCCUACGGGAGGCAGCAGUGGGGAAUAUUGGACAAUGGGCGCAAGCCUGAUCCAGCCAUACCGCGUGGGUGAAGAAGGCCUUCGGGUUGUAAAGCCCUUUUGUUGGGAAAGAAAAGCAGCAGGUUAAUACCCCGCUGUUCUGACGGUACCCAAAGAAUAAGCACCGGCUAACUUCGUG